rnacentral:tRNA from 1 species
GGGCUCGUAGCUCAGCUGGAUAGAGCAUCGCCCUUCUAAGGCGACGGUCAUAGGUUCGAAUCCUAUCGGGCUCAC